rnacentral:tRNA from 6 species
UGCGGGGUGGAGCAGUCUGGUAGCUCGUCGGGCUCAUAACCCGAAGGUCGUCGGUUCGAAUCCGGCCCCCGCUACCA